rnacentral:rRNA from 1 species
GGGUAACCUGCCCUAUGCUGGGGAAUAACCUCGGGAAACUGAGAAUAAUGCCCCAUAGCCCACUACGCCUGGAACGGUGAGUGGGUCAAAGCUUCGGCGGCAUAGGAUGGGCCUGCGCCGUAUCAGGUUGUAGGGGGUGUAAAGUACCCUCUAGCCAUCAACGCGUACGGGUGUUGGGAGACAUUGCCCGGAGAUGGAUUCUGAGACACGAAUCCAGACCCUACGGGGUGCAGCAGGCGCGAAAACUUGGCAAUGCGAGCAAUCGUGACCAGGGAACCCCAAGUGCUUAGGGUAAGACCUAAGCUUUUCUUGACUCUUCAAAGGUCUUGGAAUAAGGGGUGGGUAAGGACGGUGCCAGCCGCCGCGGUAAUACCGGCGCCUCAAGUGGUAGUCGCUUUUAUUGGGCCUAAAACGUCCGUAGCCGGUCUGGUGCAUUCGUGGGUAAAUCAACCCGCUCAACGGGUUGAAUUCUGCGAGCACGGCCAGACUUGGGACCGGGAGAGGUGUGGGGUACUCUCAGGGUAGGGGUAAAAUCCUGUCAUCCUGAGAGGACCACCUGUUGCGAAGGCGCCACACUAGAACGGAUCCGACGGUCAGGGACGAAACCUAGGGGCACGAACCGGAUUAGAUACCCGGGUAGUCCUAGGUGUAAACGCUGUGGACUUGAUGUUGGGGGCGCUCCGAGCGCUUUCAGUGUCGAAGCGAAGGUGAUAAGUCCACUGCCUGGGGAGUACGGUCGCAAGGCUGAAACUU